rnacentral:rRNA from 1 species
UACGAGUGCCUCAAGCGUUAUCCGGAAUUACUGGGCGUAAAGGGUGUGUAGGCGGCUGUAUUAGUCUUCUGUCAAAUUCUUCGGCUUAACCGGGGGCUCGCAGAAGAAACGGUACGGCUUGAGGGUGCAAGAGGUUUGCGGAACUCAUGGUGUAGGGGUGAAAUCCGUUGAUAUCAUGGGGAACACCGAAAGCGAAGGCAGCAAACUGGUGCACUCCUGACGCUGAAACACGAAAGCGUGGGUAGCGAAUGGG